UGGUAGUCCACGCCGUAAACGAUGUCUACUUGGAGGUUGUGCCCUUGAGGCGUGGCUUCCGGAGCUAACGCGUUAAGUAGACCGCCUGGGGAGUACGGCCGCAAGGUUAAAACUCAAAUGAAUUGACGGGGGCCCGCACAAGCGGUGGAGCAUGUGGUUUAAUUCGAUGCAACGCGAAGAACCUUACCUGGUCUUGACAUCCACAGAAGAAUCCAGAGAUGGAUUUGUGCCUUCGGGAACUGUGAGACAGGUGCUGCAUGGCUGUCGUCAGCUCGUGUUGUGAAAUGUUGGGUUAAGUCCCGCAACGAGCGCAACCCUUAUCCUUUGUUGCCAGCGGUUAGGCCGGGAACUCAAAGGAGACUGCCAGUGAUAAACUGGAGGAAGGUGGGGAUGACGUCAAGUCAUCAUGGCCCUUACGACCAGGGCUACACACGUGCUACAAUGGCGCAUACAAAGAGAAGCGACCUCGCGAGAGCAAGCGGACCUCAUAAAGUGCGUCGUAGUCCGGAUUGGAGUCUGCAACUCGACUCCAUGAAGUCGGAAUCGCUAGUAAUCGUGGAUCAGAAUGCCACGGUGAAUACGUUCCCGGGCCUUGUACACACCGCCCGUCACACCAUGGGAGUGGGUUGCAAAAGAAGUAGGUAGCUUAACCUUCGGGAGGGCGCUUACCACUUUGUGAUUCAUGACUGGGGUGAAGUCGUAACAAGGUAACCGUAGGGGAACCUGCGGUUGGA
rnacentral:rRNA from 1 species